rnacentral:rRNA from 1 species
CCCUCAGGGUUGUAAACGGCUUUUAUUCGGGAAGAAGAGCAGGGAUGCGUCCCUGUGUGACGGUACCGAAUGAAUAAGCACCGGCUAACUCCGUGC